rnacentral:rRNA from 1 species
GAUGAACGCUGGCGGCGUGCCUAAUACAUGCAAGUCGAGCGAACAGACGAGGAGCUUGCUCCUCUGACGUUAGCGGCGGACGGGUGAGUAACACGUGGAUAACCUACCUAUAAGACUGGGAUAACUUCGGGAAACCGGAGCUAAUACCGGAUAAUAUAUUGAACCGCAUGGUUCAAUAGUGAAAGACGGUUUUGCUGUCACUUAUAGAUGGAUCCGCGCCGCAUUAGCUAGUUGGUAAGGUAACGGCUUACCAAGGCAACGAUGCGUAGCCGACCUGAGAGGGUGAUCGGCCACACUGGAACUGAGACACGGUCCAGACUCCUAGGGGAGGCAGCAGUAGGGAAUCUUCCGCAAUGGGCGAAAGCCUGACGGAGCAACGCCGCGUGAGUGAUGAAGGUCUUCGGAUCGUAAAACGCUGUUAUUAGGGAAGAACAAAUGUGUAAGUAACUAUGCACGUCUUGACGGUACCUAAUCAGAAAGCCACGGCUAACUACGUG